GAUGAACGCUGGCGGCGUGCCUAAUACAUGCAAGUCGAGCGAACAGACGAGGAGCUUGCUCCUCUGACGUUAGCGGCGGACGGGUGAGUAACACGUGUAUAACCUACCUAUAAGACUGGGAUAACUUCGGGAAACCGGAGCUAAUACCGGAUAAUAUAUUGAACCGCAUGGUUCAAUGGUGAAAGACGGUUUUGCUGUCACUUAUAGAUGGAUCCGCGCCGCAUUAGCUAGUUGGUAAGGUAACGGCUUACCAAGGCGACGAUGCGUAGCCGACCUGAGAGGGUGAUCGGCCACACUGGAACUGAGACACGGUCCAGACUCCUACGGGAGGCAGCAGUAGGGAAUCUUCCGCAAUGGGCGAAAGCCUGACGGAGCAACGCCGCGUGAGUGAUGAAGGUCUUCGGAUCGUAAAACUCUGUUAUUAGGGAAGAACAAAUGUGUAAGUAACUAUGCACGUCUUGACGGUACCUAAUCAGAAAGCCACGGCUAACUACGUG
rnacentral:rRNA from 1 species